GUCCACGCCGUAACGAUGUCGAUUUGGAGGCUGUGUCCUUGAGACGUGGCUUCCGGAGCUAACGCGUUAAAUCGACCGCCUGGGGAGUACGGCCGCAAGGUUAAACUCAAAUGAAUUGACGGGGCCCGCACAAGCGGUGGAGCAUGUGGUUUAAUUCGAUGCAACGCGAAGAACCUUACCUGGCCUUGACAUGUCUGGAAUCCUGUAGAGAUACGGGAGUGCCUUCGGGAAUCAGAACACAGGUGCUGCAUGGCUGUCGU
rnacentral:rRNA from 1 species